AGUGAACGCUGGCGGUAGGCCUAACACAUGCAAGUCGAACGGCAGCACAGUAAGAGCUUGCUCUUACGGGUGGCGAGUGGCGGACGGGUGAGGAAUACAUCGGAAUCUACUUUUUCGUGGGGGAUAACGUAGGGAAACUUACGCUAAUACCGCAUACGACCUACGGGUGAAAGCAGUGGAUCUUCGGACCUUGCGCGAUUGAAUGAGCCGAUGUCGGAUUAGCUAGUUGGCGGGGGAAAGGCCCACCAAGGCGACGAUCCGUAGCUGGUCUGAGAGGAUGAUCAGCCACACUGGAACUGAGACACGGUCCAGACUCCUACGGGAGGCAGCAGUGGGGAAUAUUGGACAAUGGGCGCAAGCCUGAUCCAGCCAUACCGCGUGGGUGAAGAAGGCCUUCGGGUUGUAAAGCCCUUUUGUUGGGAAAGAAAAGCAGCAGGUUAAUACCCCGCUGUUCUGACGGUGCCCAAAGAAUAAGCACCGGCUAACUUCGUG
rnacentral:rRNA from 1 species